AUCUUUCACAUCACUGGAUUUGCUGUCGUGGAAUUUGUAGACGAGAAGGCGGUUGAGGUUAUCCACAAGUGAUGGAUAGAAAGAAGGGGCGAGGUUCUGUACUGCUACUGGGCCAGAAAUGACGUUGCUGUACGUGUAAGGAGAGAGGAAUUGCCGGACAAGGAGAAAUGGACUAGGCACCAAAUCAGAGUGUUUCCAUACACAGAAAGCUAUGGGAAAUUUAAGCCCUGAAGCAAGCCAGGUUGGCGGAGGAGACAUGAAAUUUGGAAUGUGGUGGUGAGGAGGAGCCAUGCACAAGAAAAAGAAAGGUUCCACGUCGCUAUGAAUUUUCAGAGAGUGGACCUGCUGAUGAUGAAGGAGAAUUCGUAGGAAACAGGUCUAAAACAUCCACUUCAUUGCCGCUACCAAGGGAGCCAAAUUUUGUGCUGACAGAUGUCAGCCCCUCUCAAGCUACUUGUAGCUCGUUCAUCGAUGGUGGAGAAAGUACAGAAAGGAUGACGAGCCAACAUCCAUCGAAACACAAUGGCAUGCGCACUGA